rnacentral:rRNA from 1 species
GAUGAACGCUGGCGGCGUGCCUAAUACAUGCAAGUCGAGCGAACAGACGAGGAGCUUGCUCCUCUGACGUUAGCGGCGGACGGGUGAGUAACACGUGUAUAACCUACCUAUAAGACUGGGAUAACUUCGGGAAACCGGAGCUAAUACCGGAGAAUAUAUUGAACCGCAUGGUUCAAUAGUGAAAGACGGUUUUGCUGUCACUUAUAGAUGGAUCCGCGCCGCAUUAGCUAGUUGGUAAGGUAACGGCUUACCAAGGCAACGAUGCGUAGCCGACCUGAGAGGGUGAUCGGCCACACGGGAACUGAGACACGGUCCAGAGUCCUACGGGACGCAGCAGUAGGGAAUCGGCCGCAAUGGGCGAAAGCCUGACGGAGCGACGGCGCGUGAGUGAUGGAGGUCUUCGGAUCGUAAAGAUCUGUUAUUAGGGAAGAACAAAUGUGUACGUAAAUAUGCACGUCGUGACGGUACCUGAUCAGAAAGCAACGGCUAACUACGUG